UUAAGCAGUUUGCCUGAGAUCCACAUCUGUAUCAGAUGCUCAACCUCAUAGACCCUUAAAGCCUCUGACAGCAAUGACACCUUGACCCAGCUUUGAGAAGAGGUGGCAACUUCCAGACAAAAUCUCCAUGAGUAUCUUUACUAUGGGGCACGCAGCCUGGCUACCCAGUGAGAACAAACAACAUCUGGAGCAGAGUUUAUGAAAAUGAGCCAAUUCUACACUUGGGGAGUACGAAAUGUUUGUUAAGAAGUCAGUAUUCACUGGCCAAAUUGAGCUUGCUUUCUAUUUUAAACCAUUUGUCCCUCUUCCUUCUGUUGGUACCAAGUAUCUGCCGUUGCCUUGGAAAAUAAGCACAUUGCUUUUGGAUAUCUGACCUUGCAGAGUGGAUAUCAGGCCAAAGAGCUUAUUUUUCUGGCUAGGUUUAAUCCAGAGGAAACCUGUUAGGCUGCUGAGAUGCUUGGCCUGUGGCAUUUCUGCUCUGACUGACAAUCACAUCAUAUUCAGAAGCUCCCAAAUCUUCCUAUGGACUGUAAAUGGUCUACAGAAGUUAGAGAUAAAGAGAAUAGAAAUAUAGCUCUUCUUAAGUCAGGCCGCCCAGUUAUUUCAACAGUGUUGGGAGUAGGUAAUGUUGUCUCCAUUGUACAAAUAGGAAACCCAUGGUUUACAGAAGCUAAGUUUUUGGACAGAGUCAUAUGGCCAAACGCAGGACAGAACCAGGUUUAAGUUCCAAGGCCUCUGAUUAACAUCCUCCCGUACUUUGUAAAAGUGUCAUUACCCAUCCUUUGCUGGAUGUUGGCUAUUUCCCCUGAAAUAGAGACAGCUUCAGUGGCAGAACAUGUUUGAUCCCAGAGUUUAAUCAGCCCUAUCACAUAAAAAAUAACUAUGAAAAAGAAGAAAUGAGCCUAAACUUAAGUGGGAAAAUCUCUUAAAAUUCAUACUUCAAACUCCUUCUAUGAAGCUGUAGCACAAGUUACAUGGGAUCACAUGAUGACCUAGGGGCAGGUCUGGAAAAAGAGCACGGACUCAUAGCCACCAUGUGCCCUUAGUUAUCUGCCAUCAGUGAAAAUGCAUAGCAGCAGGACAUGGCACAUUUUGUUUCUGAAUUCAAAAGAGAAAGUUCCAGAAACUACGGCUCAUUAUUGGAUACCGAUUUGUUUCCAAUUCGGGAAUAAAAUUUAAAGUACCUGGUUUGUAAGCCUUUGGAAAAAGAACUGGUCCACGUAUUCAGUAUCAGUGACCAGGAUUGAAGGUCACAAAGCUGGUGCUUUAGAUUACUGAAAAAUAUACUGUAUAUUGUAUAAACAACUUUUUAAACUAA